rnacentral:rRNA from 1 species
ACACGACUACAUUAGAUACCCGGGUAGUCCCAGCCCUAAACGAUGCGCGUUAGGUGUAUCGGUGACCACGAGUCACCGAGGUGCCGAAGGGAAACCGUGAAACGUGCCGCCUGGGAAGUACGGUCGCAAGGCUGAAACUUAAAGGAAUUGGCGGGGAGCACCACAAGAGGUGGAGGCUGCGGUUCAAUUGGACUCAACGCCGGGAAGCUCACCGGAUAAGACAGCGGAAUGAUUGCCGGGCUGAAGACCCUGCAUGACCAGCUG